GACGAACGCUGGCGGCGUGCUUAACACAUGCAAGUCGAACGGAAAGGCCGUGCUUUUGUCGCGUGCUUGAGUGGCGAACGGGUGAGUAACACGUGAGUAACCUGCCCUUGACUUUGGGAUAACUUCUGGAAACUGGGGCUAAUACCGGAUAGGAGCUCCUGCUGCCUGGUGGGGGUUGGUAAGUUUCGGUGGUUGGGGGUGGACUGGCGGCUUAUCAGCUUGUUGGUGUGGGAGUGGCUUACCAAGGCUACGACGGGUGGCCGGGCUGGGAGGGUGGGCGGCUACGUUAGGACGGAGAUGCGGCCCGGACUCCUACGUGAGGCAGCGGUGGGGAGGAUGGCAUAAUGGGCGGAAGGCAGACGCGGCAACGCCGCGUGCGGUGUGACGGCCAUCGGGUUGUAAUCCGAAGUCGCCUUUGACGAAGCGUGAAUGACGGUAAUGGGUGAAGAAGCACCGGCUAACUACGUG
rnacentral:rRNA from 1 species